UCUCAGUGGGUAGACCUGCUGGGGAAGGAUUAGCUCUGGCUUUUGGAGGAGGUAUGUUACUAAGGGCAGACUUUUAGUUUUCAAAAGACUCUUGUAAUUCCCCUUUGGCUCUCUGUGCCUGGUGGCUGUGUCUCAAGAGAGCUCUUAGCCAGUAGUGGUUGUGUUCUUAUUCCCAACAAUCGCCUAACACCCAGCACUUGAGGCAGGCCAGUGUCCGAAUUCAAGGACAGUCUGGGCUACAAAGUGAGUUUCAGGACAGCUAGGGCUACACAGAGAAUCCCUGUCUUAAAAACAAAAACACAGGAGAGAAAGCUCUUAGCUCCUGCCCAUUACAUGCUCCUCAGGAAUGGUGAUGGUCCCUAGCCCUCUGCAACUGUAAAUCCCAUUAAAACCUCUAUCCUAGAAGUUGUCUUGGUCAUGGUGUUUUGCCACAUCAACAGAAAAUGAAUACAGACAGGAUGUGGCCGUGACUGGCCUAAAAUUCUCUGUGUAGAUGUCCAACUGCCAAAGUUGUGUAGCACCUUCCUCCACUUUGUUUCCCUCUCUUGAGACGGGUGUUUCUGCACAGGCCCGGCUGUCCUGGAACUCACUCUAUAUGCCAGGCUGGCCUCAAAGAGACCUGCCUACUUUCGCCCCCCAAGCACUAGGAUUAAAGGCCUGAGCUACCAGCACCCAGCUAGAUUCCCACUCUUACCACAUGCAUACUAACUUGUGUAUCAUUCUUCUAGGAACCCUUAAUAAGCAAUAUAAAAAAGGUCAAUAAACAAAAAAUCAGAUCAAAAUUUUAUUCCUUCUUUAAAACUGUGAUUUCACAAUACAGGAUUGGAAUUAUUAUGAUUUUUAUUAUUUACCUUAUCGCCAAUGUAGUCAUGUAGCAUUCGGAUUACAGAUGCACCUUUGCUGUAUGAUAUAGCAUCAAAUAUCUCAUCAACCUCAGAUGGAUGGCCCACACUGACCUGGCAGACAGUGUGAUUCAGGGUUAUGACAGGAAGCAGACAGCCUGUAAUACUGAAUUACAUAAAAAGCUUUCUAGGAAAACCCUUCUAACUCUUCUUUUAACUAACUCAUAAAAGUAUGAUAAUCCUCAAAAUAAUACAUAUCCUCUUAAUUCCCUGCUAUUAUUACAGCCUAGGUCCUCUUUUUUUUUUUUUUUUUUUUUUUUGGUUCUUUUUUUCGGAGCUGGGGACCGAACCCAGGGCCUUGCGCUUCCUAGGUAAGCGCUCUACCACUGAGCUAAAUCCCCAGCCCCUAGGUCCUCUCUUUUGAUCAUGCCAUUAAUGCUCCAUUUAUUCUUAAAUGUGUCUGGGGAAAUAUUAAGAUGGAAAAAUUUGAUUUUUUCCACUAAUAUUUAAUUUUACACACACACACACACACACACACACACACACACACACACACACAGUUGAAUAACCCUUUCAUAGGCAGCAAAUAUCAGAUAUCCUGCAAAUCAGAUAUCUAAAUUGCAAUUAAUAACAGUAGCAAGAUUACAAUUACAAAGUAGCAACGAAAUGUUAGGAUUGGGGGUCAGCACAACAGGAGAAGCCAAAUUAAAAGGUGGCAGCAGUAGGAAGGCUGAGAGCAAUGGCUAAACAGGGCAGAACUAUAACUCCAGCUCUUUGAUGCAAAAUUUAUAAACCACAAGAGCCACCCAGAUAUGGUGGCUUACGUCUAGCUCUCAGGAGACAAAAAGAGAAAUUAACACCCAUGACUUUAAGGCCAGCCAAAUCUACACAGUAAGUUUUAGGCUAGCUGCAGUCACAUAACAAAGUUCUAUCUCGAAAAACAAACUAACAAAAUGAUAACAACAAAAGAAACUUCGAGAUGGCUUAGUAGGUAAAAGAGCUGCAACUAAAGCCUGACAACGUAAGUUUGAUCCCCAAAACUUAUAGUAGAAUGAGAGAAAGAGACUCUCAAAAGUUCUCUGGUAUCAACACAGAUUGGGGUAAGGGCUCUCACCCACAGACAAAAAUAAUAAGUAAAACAGAGCCAGAAAUGAUGGUGCACACCUUUAAUCUUGGGGGGUGGGGUGGGGGUGGCAGAAACAGGCUGCUGAGUUGGGGGCCAGCCUGGUCUACAGAGCAACAACAGUCAAGACUACACAGAGAAACCCUAUCUCAACACCCCCCCCCUUAAAAAAUAAGCAAAACAAAAUUUAAAACGCCCUAUCAAUAAAAAACAAAGUUUAAAAACAACAAAAAAAGCUGCCAGAGAUAAGGACAAAGAGCAGACAGCCACAGAGGGUAACGGGACAGUGACCUUGUCUACUGCACAGCUGCUGCUGGACUAGUUACAGUAUUGCUCAGUAGACUGGUUGGUUUCCUCCUAUUGGUCAACAAAAAUACCCAUAGUUCCCACCUCUACAAAAAAUUCUUUAUAUUCCCCACCUUAAAGAGAAAUAUCACUUAGAAUUUAGCCUAAGAGUUUUGGGCAUGAGCUAAAAACCAAUCAAUCAAUCAAUCAAUCACACAAAGGAAAUCACCCAUGCAGCUUUUUUUUUCUUUUUUUCUUUUUUUGCAUUUCAGAAUCUUAAACAUCCUGAGACAUAACAAGUUACUUAUUUCACUGAAAUGGUUGCAAGGUAUAGCUCACUUCAAUAGGAUGGCUGUUAUCUAAGGCAUCGAGUUCCUGGGCACGGGUAUAAUCUGCAGAAACAAACUGAGUCCAGAUAUCAUACUCUGGGAAGCAGUGGUCUACACAAAGGUACUCAAUCCAGGAUGCAAAGCCUUCGUUCAACCAGAGAUGAGUCCACCAUUCCUAAAAGAGUAAAGGUAGAAGCGAGUGAGGGACACAUAGGAGCAGUUACUGCAUUACUGGGAACGCAUGUCUCCCUUCUACUGUACUUGAAAAUCUGUAACUUUGUAAAGUAAAAUUCAACAGAAACCAGUUAUCAAUAAACUCAUAUUUGAGAGAAAAAAAGAGAAUAAAAGAAAUGCCAACUGGUGACACUAUGAUCAAGUAACCUCUAGCUGCCAGGGGUAAACAGAGGAAGGCAUCUUAAGUGCACAGAAGCACAAACAGGGCGAGCAAGCAGAAAAGAUUAGAUAUAAAAACCUCACAAUGUCCGGAGUGAACUAUGAGGGUACAUUCCUUUGCAAAAUUUUAUAUUUUUUCCCAUUUAUAUAGUUUUAUUUCAUGUGCACUGGUGUUUUACCUACAUGUAUGUCUUGUGAGGACGUCAGAUCCUCUGGAACUAGAGUUACAUACAGUUGUAAGCUGCCCUUUGAGUACUGGGAAUUGAUCCCUCAUUCUCUCCACCAGCAGUGUAAACCGCUGAGCCAUCUCUUCGCCCCUACUGGGAUAUACACUCUCAUGAUCUGACAACUGAGGAGGAUGAGGUAGGCUUAGGGUUAGGUUACAAAGUAAAAUCUUAUUACCUGGCCAUGCCAAAAAAAAAAAAAAAAAAGAAAAAGAAAAAGGAAAAGAAAAAAAGGUCAGGCAUGGGCUGGGGAUUUAGCUCAGUGGUAGAGCGCUUACCUAGGAAGCGCAAGGCCCUGGGUUCGGUCCCCAGCUCCAAAAAAAAGAACCAAAAAAAAAAAAAAAAAAAAAAAAAGGUCAGGCAUGGUACCUCACACCUUAGUGCCAAUACUUAGCAGAGACAGGUGGUCUCUACAAAUUUUGGGCCACCAGUUCUACAUAGCAAGUUCCAGGGUCAGCCAGAGCUACAGGGUUCAAAAAAAAAAAAAAAAAAAAAGAAAGAAAGAAAGAAAGAAAAAAGAAAUAAGGACGAGGAGAAGAAAGAAAAACAUUUAAAAAAUGUUGAGUCUCAGUCUCCUUUCCUUUCUGUCCAGCAAGAAAACAUUUAUUUUUUAAAUUUAUUUAUGUAUUUAUGUCCCAAAUGCUGGCCCCCUCACAAGAAAAAGAUUUCUGAGUUUAUUGCAAAAGGCAUCAGGCUGGAAAGUGACCAUUUUCAGUCAAGAAUUUCUCUUAAAACCCAAACGAAACCACAGAUCUCAGGGCCAAGUGAGAAAGGUGAGAAUCCUUCACACAAUGACUGGGGCAAACAGUGACUUGGGUCUCUAUUUCUAAUUAAACAGACACAGCACAGCCCCAAGGACCACAUGAAUUUAACAGGACGAUCACUCACAGCAGGAAGGAGCUCAAGAACAAAUGACAUUGAUGCAUUCAUGAAACAGAACAUUCACGUCUGAAAAUGCACAGUGAGUUGAAUAGUGGUGAGGUACAGAAAUUAACAGCCUGGUCUAGAAACAGUAAACCUCCUUAUUCCAUUGGUACAGAGGUAACACUAUUAAAUAUGUGACAUCUAUGUGGGUUUGACACAGAAACUAAUAAAGAAUUUUCUGUAUAAUGAAAAAAAAAGGUGACAUGAAAAAAAUUUAAAACCUAUCUUUAGAACACAUCAGUCUAAUUUUCAUUGAUGUUGAUUAAACCUCUUAGUAAAGUAUGUAAAAUAUGUAAAAUACGGAUCUAAAGGUCAGAGAAUUCUUUGUUGAAUAGUAAAAAGGGCUGUUCAUCUAAGUAUCAAUUAGGUGUUAAUAAGCCCCACUAAGAUGAGCUAGUUCAAAGUUACUGAACACUAGCCCUUUGGAAUUUUAGUCUAUGAAACAACUGGCAUCUAAUAAAGACAAUUACGUAAGGGCAAAAGGUUGUUUUAAAACAGUAAGUGUGUAUUUCCUCUGCUAAAAUUUACUGCUAGUAAUAAACAAUUUUUUCUCAAGGUUGAGCACAAAAAAUUGGUAGGACUUACUAUAUACCAAGAAAAUACCAAAUCAGGAAUUGUAGCACAGGACUCCAAUCCUACACCCUGGGAAGCAGAGAGGGAAGGAUCUCUGUGAGUUCAAGGCCAGGCUGGUUGGUCUAUAAAGGACCCUAGGACAGCCAGGACUACACAGAAAGCCUGUCUCAAAACAAAACAGAAACAGGUGAGGUGAUGGCGCACACCUUUAAUCCCAGUGCUUGGGAGGCAGAGGUUGACGAUCUCUGAGUUUCAGGCCAGCCUGGUCCACAGACCAAGUUCCAAGACAGUUCAAAAAGUCAAAAACACAAAACAACAAAAACCUCCAAAACCGGAGGGAAAAUAGAAAUUUUUACACACAUUAGAAUGCAGGCAUUAAGUCAUAUAGUUCCAAAGAAAAUUUAAAAACAUUGGGGUUGGAGUUAGAAGCACUGAAUGCUCUUCCAGAGUACCAGGGUUCAAAAUUCCCAGAACCCACACAGCAGCUCCAAGAUCUGACAGCCUCACACAGACUACAGCCAGGCAAAACACCAAUGCACAUAAAAUAAAAAUAAGUUAUUUUUUAAAAGCUACCUAAUCUAUAAGAAAAAUUUUAAGCAUACAAAGAAAAGUGGAAGAGCUUAUUUUAACAGACUGACUUUCUUUAAAAAUGUUCUUAGCUAGGUCAUAGUUGAAACACACCUCACAUUUUUGCUCAUUUCUAGUACACAUGGACUUAACCAAUAUCUAAGUCAGGUUCACUUCUUUGGCAGCCCAUGGUGCUGUCAAGGAAUCUGGCCAAGUCCAGUCUCCAGUUCUUUCAGGGCACAGGUAAGUCUAAUUCAUUUAUUAAACUCUGUAUUUCAAAACACUAACAUAAUUGGCUCCCACAGAUAGAAUUUUAUUUACAGUAAAGGUGAAACAUCAGGAUUAACAGAUAUAAAAUACAGUAACUGAAAACUCCAAUUACAUAGUUAGAAUUUUAGUAGAACUUUAUUCUACAGAUUUUUUAAAAAUUUUAUUUCAAACUUCACCUUAUUUUAUGCAACUACAAUAAUGACUCACAUAACCACUUUUUUGUGUUUAUACAGUUCAAUUUGUAAACUAUGCAAAGAUAACUUAAACUAGCUAGCCUGGAAUCUCACUGCGGAGUUCAAUCCUUUUUUACUAUGACAAAUUUUUUCUCUCACCCAAAUUAGUACCUUAACAUUUCCUAUUUGCAAAUGAAUUGUAGUUACAAAACAUUUCCUGUUAAAUAACUACGGUCUCAUCUCUGUUCUCAUAAAUAUCUCUCUUCUCCCUUCCCUUAAUUCCUCUAGGUACCUGGGAAUCUAAGGACCUGAAACUGGGCAAGUAUCUAACCAUUGAGGUAUCCGCAAAGCCCUGAUAAAUGCUUUGCAAAGCAGACCUUUUAAAAGAAAAUGUUUUUUUUUUUUGUUUUUUUUUUGUUUUGUUUUUCAAGACAGGGUUUCUCUGUGGACAGUGUGUCCUGGAACUCACUUUGUACACAAAUCUGGCCAGACAUCCCCCCUGCCUCUGCCUCCCAAGUAUAAGGAUUAAAGCACCACCAGUACAGAGCACAUAAGAAAAUGUUUAAUUUUUGGCCUAGCAUCAUAGCCAAAUUUGAAAGAGUGUGGCCAAAAUAGUGUGCAGCAGGACACAGAUGGAUAUAUUUGAGCACUUAAAAAUAUUAAAUACCAUAGUAACAAGAUUUCCAAACCAUUGAUGGGCGAGUUCAUGUCCCACAACCAGAGCAACCCACUGGCGUGAUGAAGAACACGAGUUUUUUGGAUCAAUAAGCAAUGCCGUCUCCCUGUUUUUAAAAGAAUAAAUAAAAUGGUAAAAGUGUUUCAAUAAAAGCAUGAAGAAGUGCGGGGCAUGCAGGCAAUGAUCAACUGCUCUACAGUGGCUUCAGCAAUGCCGAGUAAACACUUCUCAGCAAGGAUAAGACAGACAGACGGUCAGCAGUCUGUCGCCUACUGUGACAGGCUAAGGACAGCAGAGCUUGUCAGUGCGCUGUCUGGCGACUAGGACUGCUAAUCAGAAGACAGGAAAAAGCGGCAGCAGAAGUCACCUCAGGUCCCAAAGGGACACUGAGCAGGCUCUACAGAUCUGAGCUCAUCCAAGGCAACUGAAAGUGGAAGGAGAAAUUGUUUACAGACAGACUCAGCUUGAGAACUUAUGCAACCCACAUGUUUGUACUGUGCUGACAGCCAUGUAAAAAUCUGCCUAGAAAAUACAGAAUCGGGGAGGCUCCUCAUGUUGGGCAAUAGCUAUGUAACUCUUGGGAAGAAAUCACACUACACACAAGCCAGGAACACAACUAAAAAUGCUACAAGUGCUAAAUGCUCCCUUUAAAAAUACUGUGCCCUCAGACAGUAGCACCAGCGAGGGAGUCCAUCGCAUGCUUCAAAUAGUCAUGGAACUCAGGAGAGGCAGAAAAGCAUAAAGCAAAAGCCGCUCAACUGUGAAUAGAGUGAAGCCCUUAUGAAAUCAGUGAUUUGAAAGAAGGCAGGGUAAUGUGUCAUUAACAUACCUAUAAGUAACAAGGCCCCAGUUCUCCAUGGCACCUUCAUAAAAUAAAUAAACAUUUAUUGAUAUAUAUGCAUACUUUUCCUCAAAAAUUACAAAAUUCAAAUAAAGUCAUACAAUUCAGCAAUAAAAUGAAAUUUACUUUACCAGCUGCAAAGUCAGCAAUAGCAAUGAGAUCAAUUUUAGGUAGAGGAUAAGGAACAUUGAAGUAGUCUUUAUAAAAAGGCAAGGUUUUAGCAGCAACCUAUAAAGUACAAAAAACAUCCUAUGAAUACUUUAUUGUAAGCCACAUAGAAAUCCACAAAGGAAACCUGCUUUAGGCCAAACUAUCUUAAGCUUCUAGAAACUGAUCCCAGGGAACUCUACUUCCUUUGAAGACUAAUUGUAACAAAUGUUGUCACUGACCUAACUGUAGCCCAUGUAUAAGCUGGUAUGAUCAAUAACUAUAUAAUUUCAUAGUAUUCCAUAGAAAAACAAAUUGUUUUUAUAUUCUCUCUUUCUCUUUUCUCCAGAGCAAAAGGUUUGAACUCACAACGUCAUGCACUGUUAAAUACAAACCACUACCUUCACCCCACGUUUGUGUUUUCUGGAUCAUUAUCUGGGGGCUGGAGAGACGGCUCAGCGGUUAAGAGCACUGACU